rnacentral:rRNA from 1 species
UAGGACUCUCGGCAAUGGAUAUCUUGGCUCUUGCAUCGAUGAAGAGCGCAGCGAAAUGCGAUACGUGGUGUGAAUUGCAGAAUCCCGUGAACCAUCGAGUUUUUGAACGCAAGUUGCGCCCGAGGCCAAUUGGCUAAGGGCACGUCCGCCUGGUCUUCAAGC